CAAUUCUCUGCUCAACCAACCAAUCAUUCCCUAACUGGAUGACCUGUAUUUGGCAGAAUCAAAACAUUAGGGGGGCAGGGUCUGACUGGCAUGGUGCUAAUGGAAAUCUCUCACAACUGACUUAUUGCUACUAAAUCUGACUCCUUAUGACCCUUAUGAUUUACUGCAAUCCUGGGGCUACUACUCUUUGCUUUUGUCACCACUUUCUCCAGUCAGCAUCCCACUUGGGCAAGCCUGUGGCGUAGUUGUGGCCUGCCUGCUAUACAGGAGUGAGAGAGGAGGCCGUUCCCUCUACCCACAAUCUACCAUAGAACACUCUGGGUGAAAUACCCUGUUUCUUCCCCCGCCCCCCCCCCCUCCUCCGCCGGUGAGAGAUAUCCCGGCACUCUGAUCCACGGAACUCAUGCGCCUUUUCGAGGCGUUGGAGCGGACAUCUUAUCUUUCUCAGCUUUAUCAAGAGAGACAGGACUGGACAUAUUCUGCAAAAAAAUAUCACUGGAAUUGUCCUGUGCACACCAUAAAUCUGACAAGGUUAAUUAUCGGUACCCAAAAUGGCGACUGAGCACGACUCUAUUUGGCCCCAGCAUUUGACGGCAUCUGUAAGGCCGCCUGGCAAUGUGCUGAAUCUGCGGCACCCUUAGUCUUGUGGAACACGCAAAGUGCUGAGGCUACCAAAGCC